rnacentral:rRNA from 1 species
GACUGCCGGUGACAAACCGGAGGAAGGUGGGGAUGACGUCAAGUCCUCAUGGCCCUUAUAGGUGGGGCUACACACGUCAUACAAUGGCUGGUACAAAGGGUUGCCAACCCGCGAGGGGGAGCUAAUCCCAUAAAACCAGUCGUAGUCCGGAUCGCAGUCUGCAACUCGACUGCGUGAAGUCGGAAUCGCUAGUAAUCGUGGAUCAGAAUGUCACGGUGAAUACGUUCCCGGGUCUUGUACACACCGCCCGU